UUUCCGUAGGUGAACCUGCGGAAGGAUCAUUAAAGAGAUCAUGCCCUCACGGGUAGACCUCCCACCCUUUGUUUACAAUACCUUUGUUGCUUUGGCGGGCCCGUUUGGCCCCGCGCUGAACAACCGGCCCCGGCUGGUCAGUGCCAGCCAGAGAACCGAAAACUCUGAAUUAAAUGUCGUCUGAGUACUAUGUAAUAGUUAAAACUUUCAACAACGGAUCUCUUGGUUCUG
rnacentral:misc_RNA from 1 species